GGCCAUGUGAAAAUUUCAUUUUGAAACCAGAAACCAAGCAAGCCCUGACUAUGGAGGGGUGGGGGGUGGGGCGGGCGUUGAGCAUAGCAUGAUGAUGAACCAAGGUUGACUUAGUCUUUUCCAGGACCCCCCAGAAACUCCCCCUUUCUCGACCCCUAAAAUUCAGCUGCAUUCUAGGUCUGGAGAAGUUAGGCUAUCUGGAGAUUUAGUUCUGCCAAAGUGUGCGGCCCUUGUAAAUGCCUGUGGUGAAACUGCAAAACCUCUGCCCAGCCCUCAGGAGCUCUUGAAGCAAAAUAGAACUUGACAUUUUUAGAUGGUGUUUGAGUUUUUGCCCUCUGGAUUCAGAAGAAGCAAGACCACAGUACACGAAAUGAAGGCUACUACCCCAGUAGCGGGGCAUUGCGAUCCACCUAAGAGCAGGAAACUGAAGUGAUGAGGGGACCGUUCCUCUGGAAACCCACAUCUUUGCGUGCACUGAGGGAUCCACAGCAGAACACGUGGACGUUUCUCCUCUGGUCUUGCCUAUUUGCAGUUUCAUAGCCAAAGAAAGCCAACAGGAAAAGGAAACUCAUCCAUCAUUUUGUCAGUUUAUGACUUAUUUUUGAGUAUCCACUAAUGCUAGGUGUCCAGGUAGAUAUCAACAGGAGGUAAAGGAGUAUAGUGCUUGACCCAUAAUAAAUAUUCAAUAUAUGUUAAUUGCUGAUGAGGUGAUUGCAGAUGUACUUGUUUUUUUCAAUUUUUGAGGACCUACCAGAUGUCAGAUACUAUGCAUAAAGUCCCCUGUUAAUUCUUACAUCACAACAAAGCAGGCAAUAUUACUCCUAUUUCGCCAGUAGGAAAACUGAGGCUGAGAGGUUACAAAACUUAAUUUAAAAAGUCAUAUAUCUCAUACAUGGUGGAGUUAGGCUUAAGAUUUAACUGUGUUUGAUUUCAAAUUCUGUCUUCGUUCCACCAUGCUGCUGUUGUUUCUUCUCUAGCAGUUCUCAGAGCCUCAAGAGAAGGCUUUUCCCUCUGGGAGUGUACUGCAUUUGCUCCUUCUGGCCUGGAGACCUGCCCCUUUAAUAGGCUACUUUGAAGAAACAGGCCACCAUCCUGGGAGUAAAACAGAGUUCUUCACGAAUUACAUCAUUUAUUUUUCAACAAAUAUUAAUUUAAUUUGGUUUAGUUUAACAAAAGCACAUGAUCACAGAUUUGAUAACCAAAUGGAUUCCUUGACGUAAACUUCAGUCCUGGUUUAGCUCUCUUCCAGGAAGAAAAACAAAGUCUCUCAAAGCUCCAAAUAACCCUGUGAUUUUGGAUGAUUGAUUAUGGGAAUGCUGCUUUCACUGUACAUCCAAGCUCUCCUGGCCUCAGUGGAUAAAUAUAUGAGAGCACAGUUUUCCUGGUGUCAGGAUAUGAAGAUCCAGAGAACAAAGAACCUCAAAGAACAACACCUGGAUCGUCAAGGUUUGGCCAGCAGUGCACUUUCUCCAACCUUACAGUCAUACGCAAGUUGUGGCUCUCCUGUCCAGCCUGCCACCACUGGACCAUCCCUGUAUACAUUCCUUCUCCCUUUGAAGAAAUCCACAAAAGAAAAAGCAAAAUACUGACAAGUUUUCAAAGCCAUGAUUUACAGGAAUGAAUUCUGAAAAGCAAGUGGCUAACAUCUGAGUUCAUCAUCAAAUAAUAUUUCUAAAGCACCCUCUAGUGUCUGGCCCCAAGCCAGAUGAUUCAACGCCUGGAGAAGCUACAGACUUUUUAAAAGUAAAAUAGACUCAUUUCUGCUCAUGAGAAGCAAGUCGGCAUCAUUUAGGAUGCCUUAGGAAUGUCUCUCUAAAUAAGGAUUAAAAAUGGAUUGCUGUAGAAAAAGUAAUACAAGUACAAACACUGAUAAUAUUGAAUGCAAUUUAAAUUCCAUUUUAAAAUAGACAAUAGGUUUUAAAAUAACACGUUGAAAAAUACACUGGAAUUAGCAAAAUUUAAAAUCUUAGGAAGAAAAAUCCUGAUUUGUAUGUGAAAUGGUUUUGAACUGAGGAAAAUUAAGACUAGCAAGAGUAGAUAGGGGUUGUCCAGUAGGAAUGUUAGACCCAUCAGCCAUCUGAUUAUGCUGUGCCUGAUACUAGCCUGUAGUUUUCACCCAGUAAAUUAUCAAGUGGUGCAGUAGAAAGAGCAUGGUAUGUAGAAUCGUAAGACUCAAAGUCUGGAGUCAGCUCUACUACUCACUUGGCCAUGUGGUUUGGAAUACAUCACAAAAGAUUUAUGAACCUUCGCUUCUUCACAUGUAAAAUCGUGAUGAUUUUGCCAACUUAAUGGAAUUGUUUAGACUUUAGAGGAUUACAUAGGAUACAAAGGACUAGUUCCUUGAACAAAGUACUUGCCCCCAAAAUGUUACUAUUUUUCUAGUUGUGUGAUUGAUUUUGCAAUCAGCAAUUUAAUAAUAAUGCAUUCAAUAGGUUUAUAAUAUGCAUUCAAUGUGACUCUUGCAUGUAUCUCAUAAAAACAAAUUUGAAUAUUUUUCUCAUUUUAUCAUUCACAUAUCUUUGAGAAUGGGAUCAUAGUUUUAUUUUGAUAAUGAAGUAAUAGAGUCAAUUCCUGAAUAGGCUAGUUGACUUUAAUGAGAAAUAACCAUUUAUUCAUUCAUUCAUUUCAUUUUCAACUCUUAAAUCCAUAAUGCCCCUUCACUAACUGGGGUUCUUAUAUUAAUAAGACGGACCAGAUACUUUCAUCACCUCCAAAAAAUCUUUUUAGGCAGAGCAAUAAAGAGUACUGAAUCAUUUUAAGAAGUCACAUAGAAAAAUGACUUUUGAACAUGGAAGGACUGGGCUUGAUCAAGCAAAUUCUAUUUCAAAGUUUUACUUGCAAGGUUAUUUAUUACUGUGUGGAAUCUCACUCCUGUGGCUGGGGUCAAGAAAAAUGGGGACACAGGUGUCUGCCUAUUUGCACAGGCAUUAAAAAGUAUUGUAAAAUGAGCUUCAGCCUUUUAAGUUACUGUCUUCUUCUUUAUAAUAAUAAUCUUUUCCAUUUUACAAGGUCUAUAUUAUUUUUAGGUAAGAAAACACUGUAGAGUUCAUGUUUUAUUGUUCCUUGCAGUUAUAUAAAUUAUAUUUGGCCAAAACAAAUGUAAUUCCUACUGUGUGAACUGGGAACCCAAAAUGUUGAUUUUCCUCAAGUUAUAAACAAUGUGAAGAUAUGUUAUACUGGGUCACAAUUUUCCAGAGCAGAGCAAAAUAUAUAACUCAGUUUUAAUAACAAAACUGCAUAUAUCAUUAAAGUUUCCUACUUCACACAGAAUGUAUUAUAUUACUCUGCCCAGCAAGAGACAUCCUUUGUGUAGACCACAAUUUCUAAAAUACCAUUUGAUUGAAUAGAAAACAGGUUAGCCAUUUGUUAGUUUAAAAGAAAAUAUAAUGGUUAAAUGAUCAUGGACAUUCUGCUUUGUCUUUGCUAGUGAAUAUUAAAUUUCUUCUCACUAAAUUUAAAUGUCACAGAUUUUGUAAACAACAAGGUCUGGGGGAAAACCAUUAUGACCCUUUUCUGACUAUUAGAUGAAUCUUCAUAUUUUUAGCAACUUAGAAGCAGAUGUCCUCUCCUUUGCAGUACCAAUAAACCUUAUUUAUACAUGCACUAUAUCAACUUCAAGCCUUAUUGUAAUUAUUUACAUACAAGUCUGCCU